rnacentral:rRNA from 1 species
UACAGAGGUCUCAAGCGUUGUUCGGAUUCAUUGGGCGUAAAGGGUGCGUAGGCGGCGCGGUAAGUCGGGUGUGAAAUCUCGGGGCUUAACUCCGAAACUGCAUUCGAUACUGCCGUGCUUGAGGACUGGAGAGGAGACUGGAAUUUACGGUGUAGCGGUGAAAUGCGUAGAUAUCGUAAGGAAGACCAGUGGCGAAGGCGGCACUCUGGGCCGGAACUGACGCUGAGGAGCGAAAGCGUGGGGAGCAAACAGG